GGGGCUGUGGCUCAGAGGUAGAGUGCUUGCCUACCAUGCAUGAGGCACUGGGUUUGUUCCCCAGCACCACA
rnacentral:tRNA from 1 species